ACGUUUUUCUUCUCGCAGCUCUUUGGCCCGAGUCAAAGAACUUCAGGUUUUGUCUCUCAAGUCCUCCUUUUCAAAGAUUACAAACCUCCGUGUAUUGAGUGAGAGAUCUGUGCUUUCUGAGUGCCGUGAGAUCAUGAGUUUUGUUUUCGAAAAAUGGUGUUCGUCAGUCGAUCAUAAUGAAGAGUAAUGAGUGGAGUCAAACUGAUGAGUCCAUGGUAAAAUGCUCUUCUGGAAAGACUCCAAUAGUGGCUCGGUCGUAAAGGCUCCGUGAAGCGUCGCCUGCGCCAGCGCCGGCCGGGAAGACAGCCGCACACAUUUCGUUCAUUUAACAAUUAUGUAAAUAGCAACUUCAAGGGAGCUAGACCUUCUGCUGAAGCCUUGGACGUGGUGUUCACUCAGAGCCGCGUCUCGGUGCAUGAUCCCUGCUGUAGUGAAGGCAUACUCUAAGCUGUCUACAUGAUAUAGACUCGAUUGAUUUAGCACUGGAUACUAAAUCAAUUCAGCUACCUUUGCUGCCGAAAGUAUGUGUGCGUAAGAUAGAGUUAAGCAAAAACAACAUUUAGAGAAAGUUCAAAGAUUUUUGCUUUCUUUACGAUAUCAUAUCGGUAUUGGGUGUAAGCACAUGACCUUUCGACAUGACUGACGUGUCCCCGCACCUCAACAUUUUACUUCUGGUGUCCCCGCAGAAGACCCUGGGUCCCCCGACGCCCUCCCGUAUGCGCGCCAAAGCCCCCGAACAGCUUCAGCCCACAGAGUCUUCCGAGCGAGCAACCUCGACAGAGACAGAUGUCGACAGGGGCACGGGAAAGGAUUCUCAGGGCAACAACCUUGGGUGGGCCCCUCCCGAGGGCCACAGACCCAUGACUUAUGGGUACGCAAUGCCAACGACGGCACGACCGCGGCAGCGGGGAAAGGACUUUGGGACAGCGUCCCCCCCACAGGCAACACUGGGUAUAGACAGCCUUAGGGUCGUGCCGAGGGAGAGGCAGGUAGUUGGGCCCGAGAGCCUAGGCUUCUCGCCGGCCUUUCAGUUCACGUCUGAGCGAUCGGUGGCGUUCGGCGGCAAGGGACUACGGUCACAGCCACACAGUAUCGGCCCUGCGGAUGCAGCACGUGGUCCCCAUGGGGGCAUGGCGUCGUCUGUAGCAGAUUCUUCGAUUCCCCUGGGUUCAGUUGGCCUGCCCUGGGAAACGGCGCCAUCGCAUCGCUUCCUCCACACACCUGCAGCGGCCGCGCGACCAGGAUCCCCCACUAAGACCCCGCUGGGAAGCGGCAGCGGGCGCCCGGCGACGACGACGGGAGUGGGUGCACGAGGAACCAGCGGGAAGCAGGCGCACAAAAGCCCUCCCGAGGGGCUAAUGAGGAGGCUCUGGGAGGUGGCCCUGCUAACCCUCUUGCUCGUCACCCCGGCAGCAGGGCACUUCGACCGCGGGGGACCCCAGCAUCGCAUCACGUGGGGCCGGGGCAACACAGCCAACUCAGCGGUCUUCGGGGACACGCCCACCAACGUCACAGCCGUGCUGGGUCAUCGCGCCCGCCUCCCCUGCCAGGUCAAGAAUCUCGGCCUCAAGGACGUUUCGUGGAUCAGACAGAGGGACCUCCACAUACUCACCGUCGGGAUCUUCACCUACACCAGCGACGAUAGGUUCAAGGUCUUCCACCCGCCGGAGACCGAGGACUGGUACCUGGAUAUCAGCAGCGUGACCUUCAGAGACGCCGGCGUGUACGAGUGCCAGGUGUCCACGAGCCCGAAGGUGUCUCUACCUGUCUACCUCACGGUGCUAGGUGUACAGGAGGCGGACAUCCCGGGGCCCAGCGAGGUGUUCAUCCAGCACGGCUCCACAAUCAGCCUCCUCUGCGAGGUUCGGGCGGGCGUGGAGGCGGUGGGGCCCGUGCAGUGGCUCAGGGGCUCGACUCCCCUCAACUACAGCUCCCCGAGAGGCGGUAUUAGCAUGGAGGUGGAGAAGACGCCGACGCAGACCACUUCGAAGCUGUACAUCACUCGGGCGGUGAGGGGCGACUCGGGGAACUACACGUGCGCACCGCAGUUCGCCCGCCCCGACUCCGUCAUCGUGCACGUGGUCAACGCUGGCGAAGAGUCUGCUGCAGCCGUGCACAGCGGCGCCGCGAGGGGGCCAGAGGGGCGCCUGGCGUGGAGGGCAGCUGCAGCAGCCGUCGCCGUCGUGCUCGCCACCUGCGCCCUGCCCGGCCUGCGGUGAGGAGCCACGGUCAAAAGUUGCGUCGUGUACAGUUUGGAAUGUCUUUCGUCCCUCCUUGCCCUCAGUUAACAGGUGCGGUUGUUUAACACUGUCCUCCCUCUCCCAGCGUGUGUUGAUAAGGGUGACGUGUGCAGAGUCCUAGCUGGC
rnacentral:misc_RNA from 1 species